rnacentral:lncRNA from 1 species
GAGAAAUUUGCCAUUUCCGCCUCAAACCGUCUCAGCAGAGUUUUGAUUUUCUUUAUUUCGUCGGUUUCGUCGUUUUAAUUAAGAUGGUUCGUGUUUACCUGCCGGAAAACGCAAAAACCGGAUCUGUAAGUGUGGAAGCGUCAAUGAAGGCUGUGCGUGAAAGGCGGCGAGGUGUUCCGCUCCGGAAGGUGGCCAAGAAAUAUGGCCUUUCCAAAUCCUCGCUCCAGCGGCUUGAGUCGAAACUC